rnacentral:lncRNA from 1 species
GUACUUCUUUGCUUCUUGCACUGAAGUGGCAGGUGCAGACCUUGGUUCCCAGGGGAAUCAGAAUGUCAUUGCCAUCCAGGUUUAUGGCCAUUAGUCCUGAUUCUUACUGUUUGUCAAUGCCGCUGAAAACUCUGAGCAUUGAAGCAGAUGAAAGAGAAAGUUCUACAAGCGGUUGGAAGAAAUGGGUGCUCUGGAGGUCAGGGCUGAAGUGAGGAGUUUUGAGAGUUGAGGUUCAGGCUGUGAGGAUUGUAUCUCUCCCCCAGCAAUCCUCUGCCAAGUGAGCCCUUUAUAUGCAAGGCAGUUUAUAUCUCACACACCUCUCUGUGCACCUUCUGUUUUUAACUCCCCAGGAGUAAAUUUUUCAGCCUCUUUCUUUAUAGCAAAUUACACCAUUAAUGUCAUCCUGGCGAAUGAAACAAGAGAAUAGUAUUUAUCAGAGAAAGUCUGGUGAGUUGAAGUCCAAGACCCCAGGAAACAACUAGCCCUGCUGGGCUGCCCCUCCUUCGGAGUGGGACUAUAUGAUCCUCAUCAGGCCAAUCCACGUCACAGAAUGGUCUAGGCAUUGGAUGAGUGCCUCAAUCUGAGCCAAUGAAGGUCAUUGCUGAGACAUUUUACUGGUUGCCAGGCUGCAGGCAUCCCAGGCUUCCUGCUGCCCUCAUGUCUACAACCUGUCGUCUGGAACAUUCCAGGAGCCACUUUUAUCACUUGCAGCAAUCUUCUUCAAAUACCACAGACUGGGCAAUUUAUAAAUGAUGGAAGUUUAUUUGGCUCAUGGUUCUGGAGACUGGGAAGUCCAAGAACAUGGCACUGUCAUCUGCUGUUCAUAAAACCUAGGGGAGAUUUUCUGACCUCACCCUGAAGCAGUUCCUAAGAUCCUCACUUUAGAGAUGCCCUCACUAUAUCCAGAAGAAAGAAGCAUCCUUAUCUCCG